rnacentral:rRNA from 1 species
AUUGAACGCUGGCGGCAGGCCUAACACAUGCAAGUCGAGCGGAACGGCGGACGGGUGAGUGAUGCCUAGGAAUGGGCCUGGCAUUGGGGGCAAACGACCGAAAACGGGCGCUAAAACCGCAUACUAUCAGUAGAGCCUAGGUCGGAUUAGCACGUUGGUGGGGGAAGGGACGACCAAGGCGACGAUCCGUAACUGGGCUGUGAGGAUGAUCAGUCACACUGGAACGGAGACACGGUCCAUACUCCGACGGGAGUCAGCAGUGGGGAAUAUUGGACAAUGGGCGCAAGCCUGAUGCAGCCAUGCCGCGUGUGUGAAGAAGGCCUUCGGAUUUUAAAGCACUUUAAGUGGGGAGGCGUUACCAGCAGAAUAAGCACCGGCUAACUCCGUGCCAGCAGCCGCGGUAAUAC